rnacentral:lncRNA from 1 species
CAAGGAAUCCAGGGCUACUCGGGAUUAAGUGACUUGCCCAAGGCCAUGAGGUCACAGUGAUGCAGUCCAGCACUCUUCCUAUGGCACCCCAGUGUCUCUCAAUAUGGCUGUGCUGUCCGCACAGACGGGCUGAUCCCACCACCCUCCCCAGUUUCUAUCCCUGCUUCUAAAACCUGCAACUUGUCCUGUAAGCCAUCUUAGCACCUGCCUCUGGCUUCUAAGCAAACUUCAGGGCUAGGCUGUCCAUCCCAUCAUAGAUCCUUCUGUCAGUUAAAUCCUAAGUCAUUAAACAAGCAUUUUCCCCUGAGCCUAUAUGUGGUUAUAGCAACUUAAGUAAAAAAUACAUUUGUUCAUGGUGGAAAAGUGGUAUAACCAUAAGACAUAUGUAAUUUGUUGGGAAACAGCCUCUCUAUUCUUACUUUCAAAUGUCACAGUGAAUACUUGAAACUAAACUAUGCCGCUGGAAAGCUGGAGUUAAGAAUUUACUUGGAAACCUUAAACAUGGGUAAUUUUGGUUAGUAGCCAUUCUGUGACUUUGCUUAGACAUGACAGGUUAAGGGCUGUAGGGCCCAAGGCAGAGUUGACAGACACAAGCCCUCUCUCACCUCCUCAUCUGCAUAGGAAGGAUAAAUCCCUGUCCUGUAGGCUCCCAAUGGUCCUGCCCACAGGGUAAUUGCAGAGAAGAUAUUCUCUGAUGAGAUCAACCCAUGCAAGGCAGAACUACCAAUAUCUGUACUGCCAGAGAGACUCCCCUUAUUCCACAGUGAAUCUGAGCAGUACUAGACUCUCUCUUUACCUCUGACCAAAUACAGAUUGCAGUUCAAUUUGGAUCUGGAAAAACUGGUGGUGUAGUGGAAAGAACAAGUCUGUGGAGAUCCUGAGUUUCAACCCUGGUUAAUAAAUUCUACUAAACAUAUUUGGUUAGUGAUCUCGGGCAAAUUACUUAACUUCUUUGGGUCUCAGUCUCCACAUUAAUGCUGCUGCAGCGAGGGGCGAUGAUUCUGAAGCUUCAUAUCUUCAGAACGGUAGAUGCUAAGCACUGAAUGGUGCCUUUCAUGAACAUGGCUUUACCUUGGCUUCAAAACAACCCUAUGAGUCCCCAGGUGUGGUUUCGAGAAGAGGCUUCAGGAAGGGAAAGCUGACCAGGGAGAUGGUUUCUGAAAGGAUGUGUCUUUCUGGACCAGAGGAAACAAGCCACAAGCUGGGUGGAAGACAAGCCAUACGCCUGCUGUAGAAAUAUUCCUGCUCCAUGUUUCCUUUUUGCCCUCUGGACUGAGUCCUUUUGACGAAAGAACACUCAGAACCUGCUGAGCUUUGGGCUGGCACUGGGAUUCACUCACUCUCAGCUGUUAUCCUGGCUGGAAUGCAUUGGAGCCAACACGGCUCACUGCAGCCUCAACUUCCCAGGCUCAAGUGAUCCUCUCACCUCAAUCUCCCGAGUAGCUGGGACCACAGGUGUGUGCCACCAUGGCUGGCUAAUUUUUUUAUGUUUAGUAGAGAUGAGGUCUUGUUAUGUUGCCCAGGUUGGUCUCAAACUCCUGGCCUCAAGUGAUCCCCCUGUUUUGGCCUCCCAAAGUACUGGGAUUAGAGGCAUGAGCCCUCAUGUCCGGCCUGUGACCACCUCUUAGGCAGACAUUGGGCAUGUUCUACAGACUCUUGGAGCCUCCCUUUAUUUAUAAAUAAUAACAGCUAUUACUUUUUAUGGCACUUUGACCACAUACCAGACAACACAUUAAGUAUUUAUCUCAUCUAACUCUUAAAUGAACUCACAAGAUACCCAAUUUAUAUAUGGGCAAACAGAGGCCACAGAGGUUAGGGGACGUGCCUAAGGCCACACAGGAAGUGAGGGUAGAGCCAGGAUUUAAAAUCUGUCUGGCUCCGUGUAGGGAGACAGCCUCUCAGAUAUUUUCUAGCUCAGAUGUUCUAUUAUUCUAAUAACAACUCUCAUACAUCAACAGCAUUUUGUAGUUUUCAAAGGUUAUUUCAGAGUGGCUAAGAACCACCCCUUGAGUUGGCCAGCCUGGGUUCCAAUCAGCCUUUGACAUUUACUGUGAGACCUGGAAGAGGUCACUUAACCUGUCCAAGACUGUGUUCCCUCAUGCCUACAACUGGGAUAAUGACAGCAUCUAUAUAGGGCUCUUGUGAGAAUUACCUAAGGUGAUAUCCUUUAAAGCCUGUGGCACAUAGUAAGUGCUCAUGAAAGCUUUCCUUUCCUACUAGUUUCUCAUUUUAUCUGGUUUCCUUUUCUAUGCCUCUCCUCUGGCUGCUCUGUAAAACACCAUUCUCGCACCUGUAACAGUGGUUUUCACAUGAUGGUCUGUUUAGCCUAGGGCUCCCUGGGGGCCAGUGAAGGAAGACUGAAGAGGCUGGGCUUUGAGGACCCUACUGGUUCCAUCACAGGUCACAGAGCAGACCUGCUUUCAUCUGUUCUGUAUUUUGGAAUUCUGCAAAUGAUUUUAUUAAAAAGAAGGGUUUCCUACUUAAAUAUCCUACUUGAGGAACUGUAUAGACAAAAAUGAAGGAAACGUGUACAUGCUAAAACGCAACCCUAAAAUGUAUACGUUCUCCUUUUCUUAUGCUAUCAUCCCACCAUACCCUCCAAAGACAAAGCCUCGGAUGCACAGCAGUGGUUCCGGUUGGGUCUUCACCUCCUCUCCUCUGGAACAGCGUGUGCAUCAAAACAGUGAGAGCCCACAGCGCCUCCUUGUGGACUAUCUGAUAAACUGGAACCAGUUCUCGCAGGGCUGAAGGACGGUGGUCACCUAGAGGCAUUGCCCAGGAUCUGCACUGCGCUGUCCACCCAGGAAUUACUCUGUUUUCUUCUACUUUUAAAUAAAUUUGGGAGAUGGGCUGGGUGUGGUGGCUCACACCUGUAAUUUCAGCGUUUUGGAAGACCGAGGCGGGAGGACGGCGUGGGACCAGGAGUUCAUGACUGGCCUGGGCAACACAGUGAGACCCUGUCUCUAUUUUAAACAACGACAACAACAUAUUUAAAAAAUAAAAAUAAGAAAAUAAAUUUGGAAGAUGAACACAUUCUAUUUUAAUUCUGUUAGUGAUCAGUAAAACUGGCUUAAAAGCUGAGUUUCCUUUGGUUCCCUUUUGUUUUAUAAAAAAUGUCUGUGUGUACCUUUGUCAACAGCCUGAAUCCUAUGAAUCACAGGUUCCCCUGGGGAAGAUGGGGGUUUGAGUUUGGUUUCUUACUUGUGUUUAUAGGGUUCUGGGCAACUUGGGAGGGCGAGACACUAUGCCCUCAUGGGAUAACACUAAUU